CUUCCGUAGGUGAACCUGCGGAAGGAUCAUUAGUGAAUAUAGGACGUCCAACUUAACUUGGAGUCCGAACUCUCACUUUCUAACCCUGUGCACUUGUUUGGGAUAGUAACUCUCGCAAGAGAGCGAACUCCUAUUCACUUAUAAACACAAAGUCUAUGAAUGUAUUAAAUUUUAUAACAAAAUAAAACUUUCAACAACGGAUCUCUUGGCUCUCGCAUCGAUGAAGAACGCAGCGAAAUGCGAUAAGUAAUGUGAAUUGCAGAAUUCAGUGAAUCAUCGAAUCUUUGAACGCACCUUGCGCUCCAUGGUAUUCCGUGGAGCAUGCCUGUUUGAGUGUCAUGAAUACUUCAACCCUCCUCUUUCUUAAUGAUUGAAGAGGUGUUUGGUUUCUGAGCGCUGCUGGCCUUUACGGUCUAGCUCGUUCGUAAUGCAUUAGCAUCCGCAAUCGAACUUCGGAUUGACUUGGCGUAAUAGACUAUUCGCUGAGGAAUUCUAGUCUUCGGAUUAGAGCCGGGUUGGGUUAAAGGAAGCUUCUAAUCAGAAUGUCUACAUUUUAAGAUUAGAUCUCAAAUCAGGUAGGAC
rnacentral:rRNA from 1 species